rnacentral:rRNA from 1 species
GAUGAACGCUAGCGGCAGGCUUAAUACAUGCAAGUCGAGGGGCAGCAUGAUUGUAGCAAUACAAUUGAUGGCGACCGGCAAACGGGUGCGGAACACGUACACAACCUCCCAAUAAGUGGGGAAUAGCCCAGAGAAAUUUGGAUUAAUACCCCGUAACAUAACGAUGUGGCAUCACAUUGUUAUUAUAGAUUUUUCGCUUAUUGAUGGGUGUGCGGCUGAUUAGAUAGUUGGCGGGGUAACGGCCCACCAAGUCUACGAUCAGUAGCUGAUGUGAGAGGAUGAUAAACCACACGGGCACGGAGACACAGGCACGACUCCUACGGGAGGCAGCAGUAAGGAAUAUUGGACAAUGGACGCAAGUCUGAUCCAGCCAUGCCGCGUGAAGGAUGAAGGUCCUCUGGAUUGUAAACUUCUUUUAUAAGGGACGAAAAAAGGCUUUUCUAAGUCGUCUGACGGUACCUUAUGAAUAAGCACCGGCUAACUCCGUGCCAGCAGCCGCAGUAACAC